AUUGAACGCUGGCGGCAGGCCUAACACAUGCAAGUCGAGCGGAUGAAGGGAGCUUGCUCCUGGAUUCAGCGGCGGACGGGUGAGUAAUGCCUAGGAAUCUGCCUGGUAGUGGGGGAUAGCGUCCGGAAACGGGCGCUAAUACCGCAUACGUCCUGAGGGAGAAAGUGGGGGAUCUUCGGACCUCACGCUAUCAGCUGAGCCUAGGUCGGAUUAGCUAGUUGGUGGGGUAAAGGCCUACCAAGGCGACGAUCCGUAACAGGUCUGAGAGGAUGAUCAGUCACACUGGAACUGAGACACGGUCCAGACUCCUACGGGAGGCAGCAGUGGGGAAUAUUGGACAAUGGGCGAAAGCCUGAUCCAGACAUGCCGCGUGUGUGAAGAAGGUCUUCGGAUUGUAAAGCACUUUAAGUUGGGAGGAAGGGCAGUAAGUUAAUACCUUGCUGUUUUGACGUUACCAACGGAAUAAGCACCGGCUAACUUCGUG
rnacentral:rRNA from 1 species